rnacentral:rRNA from 1 species
ACUACGGGAGGCUGCAGUAGGGAAUUUUCGGCAAUGGGGGGAACCCUGACCGAGCAACGCCGCGUGAACGAAGAAGUUAUUCGUAAUGUAAAGUUCUUUUAACAGGGAAGAAAGAGAAAUUUGACGGUACCUGAAGAAUAAGCUCCGGCUAACUACGUGCCAGCAGCCUCGGUAAUACGUAGGGAGCGAGCGUUAUCCGGAAUUAUUGGGCGUAAAGUGUGCGUAGAGGGCAUCGUAAGUAUUUUGUAAAAAUGCUGGGCUCAACCCAGUAGGGCAAAAGAUACUGCAAAGCUAGAGUAUGACAGAGGCAAGUGGAACUACAUGUGUAGCGGGAAAAUGCGUAAAUAUAUGUAAGAACACCAGUGGCGAAGGCGGCUUGCUGGGUCGAUACUGACAUUGAGGCACGAAAGCGUGGGGAGCAAACAGGAUUAGAUACCCGAGUAGUC